rnacentral:rRNA from 1 species
UACGUAGGGGGGCAAGCGUUGUCCGGAAUUAUUGGGCGUAAAGAGCGUGUAGGCGGCCUGACAGGUCUGCUGUGAAAACUCGAGGCUCAACCUCGAGAUGUCGGCGGAAACCGUCUGGCUAGAGUCCGGAAGAGGAGAGUGGAAUUCCUGGUGUAGCGGUGAAAUGCGCAGAUAUCAGGAAGAACACCUAUGGCGAAGGCAGCUCUCUGGGACGGUACUGACGCUGAGACGCGAAAGCGUGGGGAGCGAACAGG